AAGGAAACACAUAGAGCUUCCAACUAAAAAGAGAGAAAUUGAGAUCCAUCAGUUCCCUAAUACCACACUAAACUUGAGAUUCAUAAGCAAACAGUUUCUAAAUCCACAGAAUUAUUGGGCAUAAACAUAAUAAGCAUCACGACGUGAUACAGACUCCACAAGAAAUGAGACAACCCACUAAACCAUAUUCAAAACAAGCCCCAUAACAUCCAAAACGUACAGAGAAACUGAACCAGAGAGAGCUUGUGGGAAAAGAAGAAUUGAGCAAAGCUAGAUUGAUGGCGAAACAAUCAAUAAGACGCACCGAAAUUAACACAAAAAGCAUCCUUUACCCACAUUUCACAAAACACAAAGUCUCAGUCACUACUAUGAAGUCUCUUAUCAGCAGAAAAUGAUGCUAAGAGAAAAAGAGAAACUUCAGAUGAUUGAAUGAUCUCUUGAUAUUACUUCUUAUCAAGCAAAACGCAGGGACCAGUAAUGACUCUGAAUUCAUUUUCUUUCCAUCAUCAUUAUCUAAGAUCAAUCAAAAUGAAGUCAAAGUAGCUCAAGACCUUCAAAGGCAACACCCACAAUGUAACUCAGAUCUAUAAAACGACAUCACGAACAAGACUCUUAUUGAAAAUCCAGUGAAAUCUGAACACUAAAUCCUUUUCCUGAAAACCCAUCUCUAGUCAUCACAUACAGAAAAACGCCACAAACUAGAACACACAAAGAUCUUAAAAAAGAGUAAAGAGAUGAACUUUACCAGAACAAAACUGUGAAUACUUCA